GCGGUUUUAGCUCAGUGGAAAAAAACUAACGAGUGACUGCCUUACAAGCAGAUGGUCGGGAGUUCGACUCUCCCAAACCGUA
rnacentral:tRNA from 1 species